AGUGGCGGACGGGUGAGUAACACGUAAGAAUUUGCCUUUAGGAGGGGGACAACAACUGGAAACGGUUGCUAAUACCCCAUAUGCUUUCGAGUGAAAUGGAUUUUUCCGCCUAAAGAGAAGCUUGCGGCUGAUUAGCUUGUUGGUGAGGUAAUGGCUCACCAAGGCGACGAUCAGUAUCUGGUUUGAGAGGAUGAUCAGACACACUGGAACUGAGACACGGUCCAGACUCCUACGGGAGGCAGCAGUGGGGAAUUUUCCGCAAUGGGCGAAAGCCUGACGGAGCAAUCUCGCGUGAGGGAUGGCGGCCUAUGGGUUGUAAACCUCUUUUUUCAGGGAGGAACAAAAUGACGUGUACCUGAAGAAUAAGCAUCGGCUAACUCCGUGCCAGCAGCCGCGGUAAGACGGAGGAUGCAAGUGUUAUCCGGAAUCACUGGGCGUAAAGCGUCUGUAGGUGGUUUAAUAAGUCAACUGUUAAAUCUUGAAGCUCAACUUCAAAAUCGCAGUCGAAACUAUUAGACUAGAGUAUAGUAGGGGUAAAGGGAAUUUCCAGUGGAGCGGUGAAAUGCGUAGAUAUUGGAAAGAACACCGGUGGCGAAGGCACUUUACUGGGCUAUUACUGACACUCAGAGACGAAAGCUAGGGUAGCAAAUGGGAUUAGAUACCCCAGUAGUCCUAGCCGUAAACAAUGGAUACUAGAUGU
rnacentral:rRNA from 1 species